UAAGCGGGACGUGAAAUCCAAGGGCUCAACCCUUGAACUGCAUUUCGAACUGGCAAGCUUGAGUAUAUGAGAGGAAAUUGGAAUUCCUAGUGUAGGAGUGAAAUCCGUAGAUAUUAGGAGGAACACCAAUGGCGAAGGCAGGCUUCUGGCCCAUUUCUGACGCUGAGGCACGAAAGCGUGGGGAGCGAACCGGAUUAGAUACCCGGGUAGUCCACGCCGUAAACUAUGGAUGCUA
rnacentral:rRNA from 1 species